rnacentral:rRNA from 1 species
UACGGAGGAUCCAAGCGUUAUCCGGAAUCAUUGGGUUUAAAGGGUCCGUAGGCGGGCAGUUAAGUCAGGGGUGAAAGUUUGCGGCUCAACCGUAAAAUUGCCUCUGAUACUGAUUGUCUUGAAUUAUUAUGAAGUGGUUAGAAUGAGUAGUGUAGCGGUGAAAUGCAUAGAUAUUACUCAGAAUACCGAUUGCGAAGGCAGAUCACUAAUAAUAUAUUGACGCUGAUGGACGAAAGCGUGGGGAGCGAACAGG